rnacentral:rRNA from 1 species
AUGGACUACGCUCUAUAACCCUUUGUGACAUACCUAUAACUGUUGCUUCGGCGGGUAGGGUCUCCGCGACCCUCCCGGCCUCCCGCCUCCGGGCGGGUCGGCGCCCGCCGGAGGAUAACCAAACUCUGAUUUAACGACGUUUCUUCUGAGUGGUACAAGCAAAUAAUCAAAACUUUUAACAACGGAUCUCUUGGUUCUGGCAUCGAUGAAGAACGCAGCGAAAUGCGAUAAGUAAUGUGAAUUGCAGAAUUCAGUGAAUCAUCGAAUCUUUGAACGCACAUUGCGCCCGCCAGCAUUCUGGCGGGCAUGCCUGUUCGAGCGUCAUUUCAACCCUCAAGCUCUGCUUGGUGUUGGGGCCCUACAGCUGAUGUAGGCCCUCAAAGGUAGUGGCGGACCCUCCCGGAGCCUCCUUUGCGUAGUAACUUUACGUCUCGCACUGGGAUCCGGAGGGACUCUUGCCGUAAAACCCCCCAAUUUUCCAAAGGUUGACCUCGGAUCAGGUAGGAAUACCCGCUGAACUUAAGCAUAUCAAUAAGCGGAGGAAA